ensembl:lncRNA
GUAAAUUCCUCUAUAGUCUUUGAAUCAAAAUCUAGAAGCAUAAGGGAAAAGAUUGAUCAAUUUGACACAUGAUGCAUAUUUAUAACUUUAUUAUGACAACAGAUACCAUAAGUAAGUCCACGAUGCAAUAAACUGAGAAAAUUAUUGCGUUUCACAAAGGAUUGAGAGAAAAAAUGGAGAAGAAAAAAAACCUCAUGGGGCUUCCCUACUUCUCCAGUGGUUGAGACCACCGAGUGGUCCGCCUUCCAAGGCAAUGGACUCACAUUCAGUCCCUGGUCCAGGAAACUAACACCCUACAUACCACGGAGCAACUAAGCCCUCGAGCUAUACCUAGAGAGAAGCCUGUGUGCCGCAACUAAGACUGAAAGCCGCCAAAAAAGUAAAUAUUAAGAAAGAAAAAACCUCCAAUUGUGUAGUGGGCAAGAGAUAUGGAAAGACAGCUCACUGUGAUCUGUAGGUUUAAGGUCACACAUGCAGCAAGUGUUGGAAUGUCUCCAGGCCUAUCAGCACGUCCUCCGGGUGCCCUGCCUGGCGCUGUUCUGCCAGGAGCAUAGUGUUCUACCCCAGGCCUGACAGUUUUUCCAUGGGAAAAGAAAGGAAGAGCCUAUGCGUGGCUAGCCAUGGAGAGAUGACUUCAGCUUGGAGAAUCAACCGGGGGCAGGAGAGUGUGUUCAGCCUGCCUGGAAAUUGAGCCGUCAUUGUGAUUAAAUGAGAUUCACCUGUGAGUGACCAGCACCAUCCAGUGCACCAAGAAUCACCACAUAAAAAUGAUUUCUCGGAAUGCUUUUUGAGAAGAGUUUUUAAAAGGUUCAUGUUUUCUCAAAAAUGCAUCAAUUCCAUUAAGGCGACAGUCUGGAAAAGGCAACACUGCGGGACAGAAAUCGGAUCAGUGGUUGCCAGAUUUGAGGGUGAGAGGAAAGGAUUGCCUACAGAAGACAGGAGGGAACUUUAGGGUGGUCAUGAAAACGUUCUAUAUCUUGGUUGCAGUGGUGAUUACAUGGUUGUAUAUAUUUGUCAGAACUCAGAAAACUGCACACCUCAGAAGGGUGAGUGUUACUCUAUUAAAAUUAUCUUAAUAAGUUUCACUUUAAAAAUGUACAGAUUCAAACUUCUAGAUAACCUACAUUUCCUUCUAUAAACUUGAC